rnacentral:rRNA from 1 species
AGUGAACGCUGGCGGUAGGCCUAACACAUGCGAGUCGAACGGCAGCACAGUAAGAGCUUGCUCUUACGGGUGGCGAGUGGCGGACGGGUGAGGAAUACAUCGGAAUCUACUUUUUCGUGGGGGAUAACGUAGGGAAACUUACGCUAAUACCGCUUACGACCUACGGGUGAAAGCAGGGGAUCUUCGGACCUUGCGCGAUUGAAUGAGCCGAUGUCGGAUUAGCUAGUUGGCGGGGUAAAGGCCCACCAAGGCGACGAUCCGUAGCUGGUCUGAGAGGAUGAUCAGCCACACUGGAACUGAGACACGGUCCAGACUCCUACGGGAGGCAGCAGUGGGGAAUAUUGGACAAUGGGCGCAAGCCUGAUCCAGCCAUACCGCGUGGGUGAAGAAGGCCUUCGGGUUGUAAAGCCCUUUUGUUGGGAAAGAAAAGCAGCAGGUUAAUACCCCGCUGUUCUGACGGUACCCAAAGAAUAAGCACCGGCUAACUUCGUG